rnacentral:rRNA from 1 species
AGGUAAUAGUCCUGUAUGUUAAAAGAGAAAACUUUAGAUAUGAUCCAGAGUACAACGGGACACGUGAAAGCCAGUGGGAAGCAGGAGGGACCACCCUCCAAGGCUAAAUCCUACCUAGUGACCGAUAGCGUAAAGUACCGUGAGGGAAAGGUGAAAAGAACCCCGGGAGGGGAGUGAAAUAGAACCUGACACCCUGCACUUACAAGCUGUGGACGCACAUUUCUUGUGUGACCGCGUACUUUUUGUAGAACGGGCCAACGAGUUACGUUAAGUCGCAAGGUUCAGCACUUAAGUUGUGGAGCCGUAGCGAAAGCGCGUUUUACCUGAGAGUUACGUUACGUGACGUUGAGCCGAAACAGGGCGAACUACACACUGCC